rnacentral:rRNA from 1 species
CUGGCUACUGAUGACCUAAAUAUCUGAAUGAGGAAAUUCAGCAUUAUUAUGUCAGAUGAUGGCAUAAUGGUGUGCACUUUUCUUCUAGUAAGACGUUGCGAUCCAUUAGAAAAUUUAUUUAAAUCUGUAUAUAGGCCCGGGUAGGAGUUUAUGCUAUAAGCGAGUAACAUGACUUUGUUGUUAUGUGAAUGCGUGUAAACUAUCUGGUGUUCUUACAGAUGUCUGAUGGUAUUAUGACUAUAUGUUGCAUACAAUUCCUUGUGAAUUGAUAACUCUCGUGGUUAUAAUGCAUACAUUAUCAGCAACGUUUUAGAUUUAGGAUACCAUCAGGACCCGUCUUGAAACACGGACCAAGAAGUCUAACUUGUAUGCAAGUCAAUGGGAUUAUUAAAACCUAUAGGCGAAAUGAGAUUAACUUGUUAAUGGGAUUACAAAUGGUAUAUUAUCAUUUUUCCAUCCCCGGGUAUCUUAAUGUAAGUACUGCAAUCUCGGUUGUGUGUACUACAAAGAUAUACCGUGAGCAUACAAGCUGUGACCCGAAAGAUGGUGAACUAUGCCUGAUCAGGUUGAAGUCAGGGGAAACCCUGAUGGAAGACCGUAGCAAUUCUGACGUGCAAAUCGAUUGUCAGAGUUGGGUAUAGGGGCGAAAGACCAAUCGAACCAUCUAGUAGUUUUUCCUCUCUCCGAAA